rnacentral:rRNA from 1 species
AUGAGCACGAGCAGCAGGGAGGAGCCUGGUGGCAGUGGCAGAAAAGCACAUGGAGAAGAAGCUGACGACAUGGGCUGGAUCUGGUCCUGCCUUUUCCGUGGUAAGACAACAGAUCCGUCUGCAGUUGUUGUGGUGAGGAGGCGUGAGCCGGCAGAUCUGUGGCGCAACGACGAUAAGGAAGUAGUUGGCAGAGGGAAGAGAAUGUUCAUGCUGGGAGGAGGGGAGGAGAUUAUGGUGAUGGCUCGAUCCAAAUCUCAAGAGGAGGAGAGUGAAAGGAAUGGAGGGCAAAUUGAUUGGGAUGGAGGCUGA